AGUGAACGCUGGCGGUAGGCCUAACACAUGCAAGUCGAACGGCAGCACAGUAAGAUUUUGCUCUUACGGGUGGCGAGUGGCGGAUGGGUGAGGAAUACAUAGGAAUCCUCUUUUACGUGGGGGAUAACGUAGGGACACUUACGCUAAUAGAGCAUAUAACGUACCGGUUAAAGCAGUGGUUAUACCGAUUUUUGCUGUAACUAUUAGCAGGAGUCGGAUUAGCUAGUUGGAGGGGUAAAGGCACAGCAUGGCGACGAACCGUAGCUGGUCUGAGAGGAUGAUCGGCCACACUGGAACUGAGACACGGUCCAGACUCCUACGGGAGGCAGCAGUGGGGAAUAUUCGACAAUGGGCGAAAGCCUGACACAGCCAUACCGCGUGGGUGAAGAAGGCCUUCGGGUAGUAAAACUCUUUUAUUAGGAAAGAAAAACAGUGGGUUAAUCCCUCGAUGUUCUGACGGUACCAAAAGAGUAAGCACCGGCUAACUUCGUG
rnacentral:rRNA from 1 species